AACGAACGCUGGCGGCAUGCCUAACACAUGCAAGUCGAACGAGACCUUCGGGUCUAGUGGCGCACGGGUGCGUAACGCGUGGGAAUCUGCCCUUGGGUUCGGAAUAACUCACCGAAAGGUGUGCUAAUACCGGAUGAUGACGUAAGUCCAAAGAUUUAUCGCCCAAGGAUGAGCCCGCGUAGGGUUAGCUAGUUGGUGGGGUAAAGGCCUACCAAGGCGACGAUCCUUAGCUGGUCUGAGAGGAUGACCAGCCACACUGGGACUGAGACACGGCCCAGACUCCUACGGGAGGCAGCAGUGGGGAAUAUUGGACAAUGGGCGAAAGCCUGAUCCAGCAAUGCCGCGUGAGUGAUGAAGGUCUUAGGAUUGUAAAGCUCUUUUACCCGGGAUGAUAAUGACAGUACCGGGAGAAUAAGCCCCGGCUAACUCCGUG
rnacentral:rRNA from 1 species